ACUUGACUGUCUCUUUUGAAAUCGGCAGAAGGUCGAAGAAGUGUCCAGGUCCCUGGUUGGUUUGCUUAAAUGUGUUGAGAGCGAGUAAAUAUAAACAUUACUAAGUGUUUCGGCAACAUGUAAGUGUAGCUUUAGUUUGUGAUUCUAGUUAAGUCGUAGUGUUUAAAGCUGAAUAGUCACGUUAGCAUUUCCGCGAUGGGCCCCAAGCAGCCACGUGGAGAACACUGCGAUGGACUGUAUGAAAGACAAAGUGAAACAUGGUGGCCCUCACUCUGGUGGCUCUUUGAACUCAAUGAUGGACAAGUGGAGACUGAGAUGACAACCUUAUGAGCUGCCUGUGAUGCCAUGGAUUGUCCCUCCUCUUCCCAACUAAACCAGCUGACUGGACAGACUCAUUCCUUGCAGCAAAACGCCUGAGCCGCCCUAAGAUGUGCUGUAGUCAUGCAUUGAUUCAAAAACAUCCAACCCAACAGCUGACGAAGAACACUCACUUUGUGCAGCAAAACGCCUGUGAGCUGCCAUAAGAUGUGCUGUAGUCAUGAUGGGCUGGUUAAGCAUCCAACUCAACCAGCUGACGAAGAACACUCACUUUGUGCAGAAAAAAACCUGUGAGCUGCCCUAAGAUGUGCUGUAGUCAUGCAGUGCUGCACAUACUUCCAACCCAACCAGCUGACGAAGAACACUCACUUUGUGCAGGAAAACCUGUGAGCUGCCAUAAGAUGUGCUGCACAUACUUCCAACCAACCAACCAGCUGACAGAAGAACACUCACUUUGUGCAGAAAAAGGCCGUGAGCUGCCAUAAGAUGUGCUGUAGUCACGCAGUGCUGCACAUACUUCCAACUGAACCAGCUGACUCAAGAACAUGAAUUUUGUGCAGCAAAACGCCUGUGAGCUGCCAUAAGAUGUGCUGUAGUCAUGCAUUGCUGGUUAAGCAUCCAACCCAACCAGCUGACAGAAGAACACUCACUUUGUGCAGAAAAAGGCCGUGAGCUGCCAUAAGAUGUGCUGUAGUCAUGCAGUGCUGCACAUACUUCCAGCCAACUAGCUGACGAGGAACAUCAAUUUUGUUCAGAAAAAGGCCGUGAGCUGCCAUAAGAUGUGCUGUAGUCACGCAGUGCUGCACAUACUUCCAACUGAACCAGCUGACAGAAGAACAUCAAUUUUGUUCAGGAAAACCUGUGAGCUGCCAUAAGAUGUGCUGCACAUACUUCCAACCAACCAGCUGACGAAGAACACUCACUUUGUGCAGCGAAAGGCCUGUGAGCUGCCAUAAGAUGUGCUGUAGUCAUGAUGUGCUGGUUAAGCAUCCAACCCAACCAGCUGACUGAAGAACACUCACUUUGUGCAGAUGAUCGUGGGACUCAUGGACACUGAUCUGAAGGAGAACUUGUUUGUUUGAGAAACAGUUCACAUUGUAAAAAGACACUGAUCCAUUGAAAUAAAGUCCCAACUGCCUGAUAACUGGAA